rnacentral:rRNA from 1 species
ACGGGAGGCAGCAGUAGGGAAUAUUGCACAAUGGGGGAAACCCUGAUGCAGCGACGCCGCGUGAGUGAUGAAGUAUUUCGGUAUGUAAAGCUCUAUCAGCAGGGAAGAUAAUGACGGUACCUGACUAAGAAGCCCCGGCUAACUACGUGCCAGCAGCCGCGGUAAUACGUAGGGGGCAAGCGUUAUCCGGAUUUACUGGGUGUAAAGGGAGUGUAGGUGGUUUGGCAAGCCAGAUGUGAAAGCCCGGGGCUCAACCCCGCGGACUGCAUUUGGAACUGUUAAACUUGAGUGCAGGAGAGGAAAGUGGAAUUCCUAGUGUAGCGGUGAAGUGCGUAGAUAUUAGGAGGAACACCAGUGGCGAAGGCGGCUUUCUGGACUGUAACUGACACUGAGGCUCGAAAGCGUGGGGAGCAAACAGGAUUAGAUACCCUGGUA